rnacentral:rRNA from 1 species
CCUACGGGAUGCAGCAGUGGGGGAUAUUGCACAAUGGGGGAAACCCUGAUGCAGCGACGCCGCGUGGGCGAAGAAGUAUUUCGGUAUGUAAAGCCCUAUCAGCAGGGAAGAAGAAAUGACGGUACCUGAGUAAGAAGCACCGGCUAAAUACGUGCCAGCAGCCGCGGUAAUACGUAUGGUGCAAGCGUUAUCCGGAUUUACUGGGUGUAAAGGGAGCGCAGGCGGCACGGCAAGCCUGAUGUGAAAGCCCGCGGCCCAACCGCGGGACUGCAUUGGGAACUACCGGGCUGGAGUGCCGGAGAGGUAGGCGGAAUUCCUAGUGUAGCGGUGAAAUGCGUAGAUAUUAGGAGGAACACCAGUGGCGAAGGCGGCUUACUGGACUGUAACUGACGUUGAGGCUCGAAAGCGUGGGGAGCAAACAGGAUUAGAUACCCUUGUAGUC